GGUUCCUUAGCUUAAUGGUAAAGCACCACCCUGCAAAGGUGCGAGUUGUUGGUUCGAAUCCGACAGGGACCUC
rnacentral:tRNA from 1 species